UCUAGGAAUUAUAAAAAUAACAUCUCCUUUCCUGGAACACUUUAGAAUCUGUCAAAGUGAUGACCUUUUAAACCAAAUGACAUAUAAACAAAAUCAGAGAAAGCUUAGUGAUACAUAAACUUCACAUGCAUAUAAUUAAUAUGCUGGAUGUUUGUGACUAUUAAUUUGAGGAGACUUGAGUGUUGUCAUUCAAGUUGAUUGCUGCUUACUGUAUUGGUUAUCUCCAUCUUCCAUAGUUUUCUAUUCUUUUUAUUUCUAUUCUUAUUUUUAUUGUUUCCUUCCUUCUACUUCCUUAGGUAAAUUUACUAUUUUUUGAGCUUCUUAAGAUACAAACUCAAAAGCUUAGACACUGAUUUCAAACUUCUCUCCUAAAGUUUGCAAGUGUUUGCUUCAUCUGUUUUAAAUCUUUCACAUUUUGUGCCUGCACUUUGAGGCUUAUUAUGUUUUUUGAUUAGUUUAUUGUUUUAUCAUUGAGAAAUAUCACCUUUAUCUUUGGUAAUAUUUCUUAUAUUAGAGUCAACUUUGUUUGAUAUUAAUAUAGGAACUUUGGCUUUCUUAUUCCUAGAGUUUACAUGGUAUAUACUUUCUUAUCCCUUUACUUUUAAAUUAUCUGUGUAUAAUUAAAGUGUGUUUCUUAAAGAAAGUAUAUAGUUGGGAAUUGCCUUGUUUUAUCCUUUCUGGGGGUCACUGCCUUACAAUUGUCAUUUUUUGGUGCAUUUACAUUUAAUGUAAUUAUUAAUAUAGGUGGCAUUAAGUCUAUGUACCUUUACAGUCAGUUUUCCAUUUAUCUCAUAGGUUCUUUAUUUUGUUUUCUUUUUGUUUCCUUCAACCAUUUGGAUUGAAAAUUUGGGGUAUUAAAUUAUAUCUUUCUUCAGCUUUCAUUUAAUUAUCGCUGAUGAGGUGUUCUAUUGGCAAAUAUGUAUCUUUAACUUAUCACAGUCUCUAAUCUCAUUAUUUUUGCUAUUACGGUCAUGAAUUUUACUCCUCCCUAUAUUACAAACCCCAUACACAUUGCUCUGAUUUUGCUUUAAAGGAAAAUACAUUUAAAUUUUUUAAGGUAAUUUUUAAAAAUGAAAAUACAAUAAAUUCUUUUAUAUUUACCAACAUGUUUACCACUUGUAUGUUUAGUUUUACUUCUUUGUCAUAACCUGAGUUCUCUAUGGAAUUUCCUGAGUUCUUAACAUGAUCGCUUCAUUCUGAUUGACCAGACUCACGGGUCUCUUAGCCUUGUUCCAGCCCUGGUAAUUAUUUAGUUUCAAGAUCUCUCAUGGUGGUUCUUCCCUAUUUUUCAUUCUUUUCAAGGCCCUGUGGAAUCUUACUCUUCACUUGCACAGUUCAGUACUCAAAGACUCAAGGAGAUCCCUAUGUAGAUUUCUGGAGUUCAUUUUCUGUAUAGUUUAAACAAAAACUGAAAACCAAACUCCAAUCUGCUGAAAAGAAAAUUACCUUAGAUUUAUUUAAAUCUAAUUGAUACCCACAUAAUAUAUACCUUACUUUCUUUGUCCUUUUUUCUAAAUUUUUUUAUAACACCACAAAUAGAUGCAGGGGUAUGAAUUAGGUUAUGGCAGUAAUACAGGUGAUAAACUGUAGCGGCUUAUAGUAUGGUGACAGUGGAGGAGAUGAAAAGUGGUUGGCUUUGGAGUAUUAUUUUAAAGGUAGUUCAGAAUUAGAUUAGGUGUGGAUUAUAAUAGGAGAGAAGUUACAGAUAACUCCAAGCUGGUAGAAUUGUGUUGUCAUCUACUGAAGGGCAGCAUUAUGGAAGGAGCAAAUUUGAAACAUAGAAACCAUGAGUUUGACUCUGGAAAACUUAAGUUAAACACCUAAAUAUAAAUAUAACAAAUCAGGUAUGUAAAUGUAAACUUCAGGAAAAAGAUCAGCGUUGGAAAUACAAAUUGAGAUCUGUCAAUGUACACAUAGUAUUUAAGGACAUGAAAUAGGAUGAGGUCACCUGAUAAAGCUUAUAUAAAUAGACCAAAAAGUGGUCUAAGGGCUGACCACAUAAAUAUUUAGGGAGUAGAGAGAUAAGAAGAACUAGCAAAGGAGACUAAGAAGGAGUAUCCAGUUAUAUAAGAAGAAAAAUGAAAGAAUGAUGUCCUGCAAGACAUCUGAGGAAAGUGUUUGAAAGAGAAAAAUGGAUCACAUGGGCUGAAUACCAUUGCUUGACUGCUGUGAGGUGAAAUGGCCACUGGAUUUGGUAAUUUAGACUUACAGAUGGCAAUGAAAAGAUCUGUUUCAGUGGAGUUAGUUGAGGAAAGUCCACCUGAAACAGAUUCAGGAGGAAAUGUAACCACAAGAUGCAGAGGCAGGUAAUGAGGAGUUCUGCUAUAAAGAGGAGCAUGGAACUAGAGUGGGAGCUGGAAAACAGAGAUAUAGCAGAAACAGUGUCCUGGAAAAAUAAGGGGCAAGGAAUGGGAUCCAAAGAAAAGGCGGGGGGAAUGAUUUAAGCAGCAUUUUAAUAAUUUAAUAGGGAAGAAGGAGGUGAAAUACAAAUACGUUAAGUGGGUAAAGGUGAUGGUAAAGGUGUUUUUUCUUAUACUCAACACUACUUUUGCAAUGUUAGAGGGGAAAAGGAAAUAAUUUUAGUUUUCAGGAGUACCACAUGAAGAAGGGAGAUUCUAACUAAACACAUGACCCUCAAAGAUCCAAAGAAUGAAAUAUCACCACCUGCUAGAUUUUGCAAUCACAUCCUUACAGCUUAAAAGACACUGUUGGCUUCUGGUAGGAAUCCUUAAAUUCUUUUACAUUCUGAAGUGACUUUAACUUUAAAAUAUUUAAAAACUGAAAUGGAAAUAUCUUUUUAGAUAUUCUUGUGAGUGACCUUUAAUAUAUCAUGGAAAAUGCAAUUAAUGCAAUGUUGGGUCCUUUAAAAAUAAUUACUAAUCAUAAUAGAGUCAUCAUGUAGUGGAACACUUUGCCUGAUUUCAAGAAAUUUAUAAAGUUUGGUAACAGUGGGAAGACUUCUUCUCCCCACAUACAUUGACAGAGAAUAAAAAAGGAGGCUAAGAAAUUCCCCAACCACUUCCCAGUAUAAUUUCUGAAGGUGAAUUCAAGAAUUAAGGAAAAGGAAAGAGAACACAGAUACCCUGUCAGUAAUGAAACUGAGAUAAAUGAAGUCCAAGGAGAACUGGAUGAAACAAGUCUGUCUCCUGUUUCCUCUCUGCUAGGGUGAAUGGGUUAACAUGAAGAUGCAGGUCAAGACAGAAGAUGAUAAACAAUCAUAAUUAGAUAUGCAUUUGAUAUGUUUUCUUUACUUUGAUUCUGUUUAAAUGGAAUAAAUAAUGAUUCAUAAUAUAUUCACAGAGUGGAUUUUUGCUGCUAGCUUUUAAUUCCUGGAGGAACCGACUAGUGAUGAUAGCACAGCCCACAAAGCUGCCAGUUCUCUAUCUGCUGCUUUCUUCAGGAUUUUGCUCUUAGUUAAUUAAUUCAAAAUAAAAGUGCACAUCCCAAGGAUUUGUUUUCAUCAUAGAUAUCCAUAAGACAUUCAUUUCAGAAUUUGUAUUUGGGAAAGAAUUGCCUUGUGUGUGUGGUGAAUUACAUAAAGGUAAGUGAAAUUAAACACAGAGCGUGCAUUCUUAUGACAGCAUAUGUUCAGGGACUGGGAACCAACAAGCUCCCAGAAGUGAACAAAGCCUCCAGGAUAACACGGAAUGGACAGGUCCCACACAAUAGCAAAUGGAGCAGGGACUUAGCAUUUUGCCUAAGAACCAGUUGUAAAGAAUAAUUAUUUUACAAAGAGUCACUUCCCAUAUAUCAGACAUACUUAAAACAAAGCUAAAAAAUAGCUUUCCCAUGUCUAACCUCAAUACCAGGAAAAUCAUGAUCUACAUAUGCAAAGAGAGUAAGAUUUGAACUAUCCAGAUAGCUCAAGCUAGUAAUACAUUUGUAGAAACAGUUUUAGCUGGAUGAUUGCUCCAGUUCUUUAACAUGACUGGAAACCAGAUUUUU